UGUGUGUGUGUGUGUGUGUGUGUGUUUGUGUGUGUGUAAACUAGCCCAUUGCACACACAUGCAAACACACACACACACAAUUUGCAUUCA